CCUACGGGUGGCAGCAGUGGGGAAUAUUGCACAAUGGGGGAAACCCUGAUGCAGCGACGCCGCGUGAGUGAAGAAGUAUUUCGGUAUGUAAAGCUCUAUCAGCAGGGAAGAAGAUAGACGUUACUUGACUAAGAAGCCCCGGCUAACUACGUGCCAGCAGCCGCGGUAAUACGGAGGGGGCAAGCGUUAUCCGGAUUUAUUGGGUGUAAGGGGAGCGUAGGCGGCUGUGCAAGCCUGAAGUGAAAGCCCAGGGCUAAACCCUGGGACUGCUUUGGAAACGGUGGAGCUAGAGUGCUGGGGAGGUAAGUGGAAUUCCUAGUGUAGGGGUGAAAUGCGUAGAUAUUAAGAGGAACACCAGUGGCGAAGGCGGCUUACUGGACAGUAACUGACGUUGAGGCUCGAAAGCGUGGGGAGCAAACAGGAUUAGAUACCCUUGUAGUC
rnacentral:rRNA from 1 species